CUGAAAGACAGUUUUAUGUUCAAUGCAGUACGUGGGUCAAAUUUUUUUCUUUUUCCUUUUUUGCAGACGAUUGGCAACACUCCUUAUUGGAUGCUCCUUACUGAGGUCGUCAACUUUUUCAGAUGGAUGUAUCGUACUGAGGAUGACAACAUUUACAAAUGGGUGUUCCUUGUUCUAUUCGUUUUUGUGGGCAUUAUUGUGGCUGCUGUUGUGGGUGGUACUGUGAAUGAUUUAUUAGGUAUUUGUGUGGGUGUUCUUGUAGGUUCUCUUGUAGGUUGUUUUAUUAUAAGAAGAGUAUUAUAAAGGUUUAAGUACUAAGAGUGUCUUAAAAAUUACAGAUGGAUAUUACUUGUUGUGGGUGACGGUUUUAGGCAGUGGUGUGAAGCUGUAGGAUUUGCUGUAAAUAAUGCUGCCAGUAUUUGUAUGGGUGUUCAUGUAGGUCUUGGUGUAGACGGUCUUGUGGUCAUCGGUAUGUUUGUUAUCUGGGUUAAAUUUAGAGAGAUAAGUCUUAAAUUCAUGGUUUAAUUCAUGUUUAAGUGCGUAGUGCGUGAUGUUUUAUCCUAGAUCUUCUGUCAUUUGUA